AUUGAACGCUGGCGGCAGGCUUAACACAUGCAAGUCGAGCGGUAGAGGGGAGCUUGCUUCCCUUGAGAGCGGCGGACGGGUGAGUAAUGCCUAGGAAUCUGCCUGGUAGUGGGGGACAACGUUCGGAAACGGACGCUAAUACCGCAUACGUCCUACGGGAGAAAGUGGGGGAUCUUCGGACCUCACGCUAUCAUAUGAGCCUAGGUCGGAUUAGCUAGUUGGUAGGGUAAAGGCCUACCAAGGCGACGAUCCGUAACUGGUCUGAGAGGAUGAUCAGUCACACUGGAACUGAGACACGGUCCAGACUCCUACGGGAGGCAGCAGUGGGGAAUAUUGGACAAUGGGCGCAAGCCUGAUCCAGCCAUGCCGCGUGUGUGAAGAAGGUCUUCGGAUUGUAAAGCACUUUAAGUUGGGGGGAAGUUCAGUAAGUUAAUACCUUGUUGAAUUGACGUUACCGACAGAAUAAGCACCGGCUAACUCUGUGCCAGCCGCCGCCGUAAGAC
rnacentral:rRNA from 1 species